CUUAUAUAUACGACUACAUAUAUCUUCAGAAAUUGGUCUGAAAGUCUCUACCCCCACGCCGUAAACAAGGGGACUAUGUAGAAGUGUUUUU
rnacentral:ncRNA from 1 species